CCCCAGACACUUCAGCCCCCAGCACUCCAGCUGGCAGCACAGGUUUUGCAGCAUGGACAGCCCCCAGCUGGCUGUGGAAUAGUCCUGGGGAAGAGGAAUUGCUGCUGCCAGAUCUUGAUAUGGUGCUUGAGACACUGGAAGAGAUGUUUGCUCCCUCUGCUCAGGUAACUGCAUUGGACAGGGAAGAAAGGGACUGGACUGAGAGCUUGUGAAUGUUGUUGCAUGGCUGAGAAGGAAAAGCUUCUUGAGUUCAGCUGGGAAUGGACAGGGGAGGAUUUGCUUGCUGGAAGAUUUUCACAAGAAGAAGAAAUGAAAAAAGAUGAUAGUCCUUAAAUGAGGUUGAAAGGUGAUGGCCAAGUUUGGGUGCUUGUUUUCCUGGGAAGAAUCCCUGGUGCAGGGGCAUUUGUGGUGAGGAGGGGGAAGCUUUGUAGGUUCUAAGAGGCUUUGUUUGAUGGGAAAGAAGAGUGUUUGGAGAACGGGCACGGAAGGCCAAGUGUCCCGUGCAGGGAGGGGCAUGCCAGAGGUGCCUCUGUUCCAGCAGCAGAUGUGGGCUGUGCCUCUUUGGGUGGGAAGGCCAAGGCAAAGCAAGGGCUGGGCUGCAGCUGCUGCUGCUGUGUGAGCCCUGCCGUGCCUGUAGGCGCUCCCAGAGCCGUGGCUGGGGCUGGGCUGGAGCUGCAGCUUUCUUGUCCUCUCAGUAAGCUGGUGCCUGCACUGCAGUUUCCUUCUGGGAAAUCCUCAGCUGGGCAAACUGGCCAGUCUUGCUGUCCAUGUUCCAGAGCUCAGUCUCCUUGCUCUUGGGCAUCUCUGUGGGAAGAGAUGUGUGCUCCCACACUGUCCCUGCCAAGCUGCAGCCUGGAUGAGACUGCUGUGCUCAGGGCUGUGGAGGGAGGAGCACAUCCCUGUGCCAGGAGCUGGCAGGACUCCUUCCUUAGCAGCCAUUCCAUGUGUUCAGUGUUACCCCCACAUUCAACACUGUCAGCUUUGACAGCUUUUGGACUAUGUUUUAGAAGUCAAAUAUUUUUGACUAUUCAGAGAAGAAUUCUGAAGUGCUUUGGCAUGGGUGAUGUGUGUGGGAGAAUUGGCACGGGGAUGCCAUAGGAGAGUUCUGUUGUUGAAGUUAGACUGAGUUGCUGUAGUAAUUUCCCAUAGUUCUCUACAACUGGUAUGCUAACAUGUAUGAAAAUGACAAGUGUUGUACACACCCCUAUCUAGAACAUUCUCUGUUCUUCGAUCUCCAAUUGGUUGUUGCCUUGAAACCACUCCCUCCUCAUUCCCCAUUGGACUGUUCUCCAUUACCUCAUACUUGCCCCUCCUCCUGUACCUUCUCCCAUUGGAUCAUUUGUAUUGUGACCCCUCCCACCCAUAUGCAUUUAUAUACCCUGGACCCUCCCUCAGCAGUUGGAUUCUCUCCCCACUGCCCUCCUUCACAGUUGUCUCCCUGCUCCUUUCAGUCCACCACCUUUUCUCUUUAACUUUUUCUGCACCUUGGAAAAGUUGAAAGGUGCAGGAAAAGUUAAACUCAUUGGAACUAUCUGAGGUUGAGUCACCUCCUUCUACCCUGGUGAGCAGAGAAUAUACAUCUGGGACUGGGUGGAAGGUGGGCUGAGGGGUAGCGCUGUUGGGCAAAGGCACCCUCUUUGUCCCUCUGGUGUCCUGCCAGCACUGGCCCAGAGUUUUCCUCCCGCAGACGGAGAAGAAAACCGGUCUCCCUGCCUCAGUUGGCGCCCAAACAGGGACCCUGGGUGUCAUCCUCAUCGUCCCAAAGAGUGUCCCUUGGAUUCCAUUGCAUCUGUGAUGCCUGGUCUCUGAGGAUUUUGCACCGUUCGGAGCCGACUCCGAGGAGUGAGUCGCUUUCAUUGUUUGGAAGCCCUUUCUUCUCAGAACAUGUGACAACCGGAGGGAUUGUGAGUCUCCACAGCGACCUGAUUGAAGAGGUCUCCACAUUCCUGCAAAUCACAGGCAUCUCACCAGCCUCUCUGAAGCAAUUUCUGAUCACCCGUGGUUUCUUCAUGUGAAAAUUCCAGCAUGUACGCCCAGGGAUCAGAGAUACCCCUGAGAGUGCUGUGUGUAGCAAUCGUCAUCUGGUACCAUCACCUCACAGCAGAUGCGUGGAUGGUGCAACAACCUGCUGAAAACAUAUGGUUGAUGUUGGUGAAGACUCUAAAACAAGACAAUUUAUGCAUGUCAGUGGGAGCGGUAGACAACCCUUUGUCGACGUGUCUGGUGAGGAUGCCUCUGUCAUCAAAUGAAUAUCUAUAUGCAGGGGAAUGUUCAUGUUGCCCCUGAGUCUUCAGGAGGGAAGCCUGUGGACAGAGCUGCAGCAGAGAGAACUUUGCCUGGCACUGAAAGCUGCGGGAAGAAUUCCCAGGAGUCCGAGGAGCUUGUUUCUGGAUGUUUGCGUGGAUGGAUUCCGAGUGUGAAGAGAGAUUGAAGCAGCACAUCCCUUCGAAGUCUUCACAGCCGUGUCCGUGGGCAAGCAGCAGGAAGUCAAUUGCAGCUCGGUUUUGGAGCCACGCAUGUCUUGUGAUUUCUUCUUCCUUUAAGAGAUCGCUCUGGGCAGCAGAUGUAGCAUUAGCUUGUUUUCUGAGCCAGCACCCGAGGUGAUUUAUUUCACCAAGGAGUUUAGCUGCAGCUCCCCAUGGGUAAAGGUUCUUCCUAGUCUGUGAAGGUCCAGCCUCCACUCCUGGCAAGGUCCCACAAGGGCUGUGAGAAGCCUCCCAGUCCCAAGACAGGGCUGAUUAGGGACUAUCUUCUCUCUGACACAGGAGGCUGAAUCCCUCAAUUAAGGGUUGAGGCAGUAAGUGCUAAAAAGUGCUGCUGUUCAAUCAACUUGUGCCCACGUUGCCUCCUCUUCUUCUGCCUUGCUUCUGCUGGAUCCUGCAGUCACACUGCACUUGCUGGGCAGCCUCUGCUCAGCAAAGCUUCUGCCUGCCCUCUCCACAAAGGAAUUUAGGGCAGCUCCUUGCAGCCUGGGAGGCUCCCUGGACAAAGACUGGCAGAUCUGCCUGUACAGCCAUCCACAACCCAGACAACAGGCAAGAAAGUUGCAGGAAUGUUUAAUUUCAUCCCAAAACGGGCACCUUCAUCUGUCCCUGUGAGUCAUCUCACAUUCUCCUUUGACUGACUUGAUGGAUGCCCACCAAGCACAUGGUACUCCAAGGAGCCACUCACACGGACACCUCUGCAGGGACCUGUGAUCCAUUGAGUGAAAACCCUGCUUGGGAUGAGCCAGUUUGACUCUGUUUCACAGAGACUGCCAGAAAGGAACACCCUGUCCUUACCAGCUGGGUUUUAGUAUUUCUUUUUAUUCCAUCCACCAGAAGGACAUAGACAUUUUUCUUGCCAAAGAUUUCAUCGGAGUACCCCAAACACAGGAACUGGCCUGAAUUAGCCUGGAUUCAUUAUCCUGAAAUAUCCCCAAAGAUUUCCCCAAGGAAAGUUAGGAGGAAAAAAAAGAAAGUAAGCAGAAGGAUUGUGAUCUUUGUUUGUAUUUAUCAUCCUGUUAUGUAAAUUGCAUUUAGCUGAAAAUGCUUUGACUAGCUUUGGCUUUCCUCAUUAAGUGGUUCUCGAUUUGCUACCACCACCACAACACCCAGGCAGGUCAUACUGGUGUUCAUUGUCAUAAAGUUCAUCACAAGUUACAUUCUCCUCCUCCUCCUCCUCCCCAUUCUGCAUGCCCACCAUGAGGACUGAGAGCCAUAUGCCUUCAGGAAAUUGCCCUCCUUGCUGGACUGUGGUUCUGCUAUAAGUUCCUAAAGCAAAUCAAUAAACAGUUGCUGGCAACAGGGAAUUCUAGAAAGUGUGGGAUAAAACAGAAUUAUUAUUUCCAGUUCA